rnacentral:rRNA from 1 species
GAUGAACGCUGGCGGCGUGCCUAAUACAUGCAAGUCGAGCGAACAGACGAGGAGCUUGCUCCUCUGACGUUAGCGGCGGACGGGUGAGUAACACGUGGAUAACCUACCUAUAAGACUGGGAUAACUUCGGGAAACCGGAGCUAAUACCGGAUAAUAUAUUGAACCGCAUGGUUCAAUAGUGAAAGACGGUUUUGCUGUCACUUAUAGAUGGAUCCGCGCCGCAUUAGCUAGUUGGUAAGGUAACGGUUUACCAAGGCAACGAUGCGAAGCCGACCUGAGAGGGUGAUCGGCCACACUGGAACUGAGACACGAUCCCGACUCCUACGGGAGGCAGCAGAAGGGAAUCUUCCGCAAUGGGCGAAAGAAUGACGGAGCAACGCCGCGUGAGUGAUGAAGGUCUUCGGAUCGUAAAACUCUGUUAUUAGGGAAGAACAAAUGUGUAAGUUACUAUGCACGUCUUGACGGUACCUAAUCAGAAAGCCACGGCUAACUAAGUG